rnacentral:rRNA from 1 species
ACACGACUACAUUAGAUACCCCUGUAGUCCCAGCCCUAAACGAUGCGCGUUAGGUGUAUCGGUGACCACGAGUCACCGAGGUGCCGAAGGGAAACCGUGAAACGUGCCGCCUGGGAAGUACGGUCGCAAGGCUGAAACUUAAAGGAAUUGGCGGGGGAGCACCACAACAGGUGGAGCCUGCGGUUUAAUUUGGACUCAACGCCGGGAAGCUCACCGGAUAGGACAGCAGAAUGAUUGCCGGGCUGAAGACCCUGCAUGACUAGCUG